AUUGGACUUUCCUUCGGCUGGGAGAGUUGCGACAUCCAUUGCUUGUCUAGCUUUAUCAUCUGUAGCACUCCUAGACUCAGGAGAGUUAAUGGCUUGGGGGAACAAUGUAUAUGGCAUUUUGGGCCAUAGCUAUGACGUGAAGGAGCAAAACAUUCCUCGCAAAGUGCCCGGCUUGGAAGGCAUCACCAUUACAAGAAUAGUGUGUGGAAUGAAUAAUGCACUAGCUUUGUCCAACGAUGGAAAUGUCUAUUCUUGGGGAUGGAAUUGCGUUGGCCUGCUUGGACCUGAAACCACAGAAAAUUCUCACCAACCAACAACUUUGAUAACUGGAGAUUUUGUCAGGAUAAGAGACGUAGCUGCCCAUAUCACGCACAAUUUUGGUGCUGCAGUCACAGAAACAGAUGAAGUUUACGUUUGGAGUGCUUUAGGUAGCAGCAACAUUG